rnacentral:rRNA from 1 species
UACGUAGGGUCCGAGCGUUGUCCGGAUUUACUGGGCGUAAAGGGCGGGUAGGCGGCCACCGCAAGUCAGUUGUGAAAUCUCUGGGCUUAACCCAGAAAGGUCAACUGAUACUGCGGGGCUAGAGUGCAGAAGGGGCAACUGGAAUUCUCGGUGUAGCGGUGAAAUGCGUAGAUAUCGAGAGGAACACCUGCGGCGAAGGCGGGUUGCUGGGCUGACACUGACGCUGAACUGCGAAAGCUAGGGGAGCGAACGGG